CAGGUGGUGCAUGGUUGUCGUCAGCUCGUGUCGUGAGAUGUGGUUAAGUCCCGCAACGAGCGCAACCCCUAUUGUUAGUUGCCAUCAUUCAGUUGGGCACUCUAGCGAGACUGCCGGUAAUAAACCGGAGGAAGGUGGGGAUGACGUCAAAUCAUCAUGCCCCUUAUGACCUGGGCUACACACGUGCUACAAUGGUUGGUACAACGAGUUGCGAGUCGGUGACGGCGAGCUAAUCUCUUAAAGCCAAUCUCAGUUCGGAUUGUAGGCUGCAACUCGCCUACAUGAAGUCGGAAUCGCUAGUAAUCGCGGAUCAGCACGCCGCGGUGAAUACGUUCCCGGGCCUU
rnacentral:rRNA from 1 species